UGUUAGUCGUGAAGGCUUGUCUGACAUACGGUGGUGUUUGUCGUGAAGGCUUGUCUGACAUACGGUGGUGUUUGUCGUGAAGGCUUGUCUGACAUACGGUGGUGUUUGUCGUGAAGGCUUGUCUGACAUCGUAGUGGUGUUGAUAUUGGUGUGUGUGGAGUAAAGGACCGGUGAAGCCGAACUCGUUAAGUACGAUAGUUCGGGAGUGCCAUGCGGUGUGUUAGACAGAGGGAUAGGUGUUGUCUGAAUUAAAUCUUAAUUCUUUUGCAUUUGCAUAGGAGUACUUUUAACAUGUACUAGCUAUAUGAUGACUUGGCUUUCGCCUCGUGACAUCCAUGGUGAUUGCAUCGGGUAUUGGUUGUAGCGGAUCUCGGCAUCACCCAGGCAAUGAUUGUGUUGAAUGACACGGCUGACGGGAGGGCAUGGAACAUACACCUAGGCCAGAGUUGUUACGACCAGCCAGCGCCAACGAGUGAGAUCGGUGAUCACCGAUCAGUGAUCGGUGACAGGAGCUGUUGGCCAGCCUCGACGUGGUGGUGGUGAUGGUGGUGGUGGUGUGCUGCUGCUGCUGCUGCUGCUGCUGCUGCUGCGUGAAUUGGAGCGUGUCCUGCCGACCAUACCUUCAAUUGCCUGCAGGGCGACGCCGCUGCCGAGAGAACAUGGUACGUGCAGGAAGGCCAAAACUGUGAUAAACCAGCGCCAGCGACAAGGAGACACGGGUUCGGCCAGCGCCAGCUAGAGAUCUUUUACUUUUAGAGGUGUUGGCCUGCUGUUCAGAGCGGCGGAGUGCUGUGACGUGCCGUUGGUGGUUCAGCUGAUGUCCCUGUUGAAGGGAGUGUGGCCGCUAUCUUCACCCUACUCAGGAAAUGGACUGGUGCUGCACUGGGACACAUAGAUGCCAUCUCCUGCCUUGCUUCACCUUCUAGGGAGGGACUCUGCACCUCACCUCAUUGCCCUGCCAGUAGCUCCAUGAUGCUCUGCAGGGAGGAAGCUUGCCAUGCAGGAAGGACAAGAAUUUUGCGUUUUUUUUUUUUUUUUUUUGUGUAAACUGGUUAAGGGCAACAAAAUAAAGGUUUGCUUAAUUGCCAGAUUUCAUGAGAUCAAUAGUUCGGCCAAAAGAUGGGGACAAAUAUAUGAAGAUGGAAAUACAGAAGCAGGCAGGGAGUUCCAGAGUUUACAGUUUCUGCCCACGCCUUGCUGCUUCAUACCUGGAGAGAAGAGACUUAAGCUGUGUACUUGAUCUGAUGUUAUUUCUUGUUUGAAUGUAAUGUAGAGCUGUGGUUCUAGUAUUCGUUAAUAAAUUGAAUUGAUUUA